AUUGAACGCUGGCGGCAUGCCUUACACAUGCAAGUCGAACGGCAGCGGACCUUCGGGUGCCGGCGAGUGGCGAACGGGUGAGUAAUAUAUCGGAACGUACCUUUCAGUGGGGGAUAACGUAGCGAAAGUUACGCGUAAUACCGCAUAUUCUGUGAGCAGGAAAGCAGGGGAUCGGCAAGACCUUGCGCUGAUUGAGCGGCCGAUAUCAGAUUAGCUAGUUGGUGAGGUAAAGGCUCACCAAGGCGACGAUCUGUAGCGGGUCUGAGAGGAUGAUCCGCCACACUGGAACUGAGACACGGUCCAGACUCCUACGGGAGGCAGCAGUGGGGAAUUUUGGGACAAUGGGGCGCAAGCCUGAUCCAGCCAUGCCGCGUGAGUGAAGAAGGCCU
rnacentral:rRNA from 1 species